AACGAACGCUGGCGGCAUGCCUAACACAUGCAAGUCGAACGAAACCUUCGGGUCUAGUGGCGCACGGGUGCGUAACGCGUGGGAACCUGCCCUUAGGUUCGGAAUAACUCCCCGAAAGGGGUGCUAAUACCGGAUAAUGUCUUCGGACCAAAGAUUUAUCGCCUUUGGAUGGGCCCGCGUUGGAUUAGCUAGUUGGUAGGGUAAAAGCCUACCAAGGCGACGAUCCAUAGCUGGUCGGAGAGGAUGAUCAGCCACACUGGGACUGAGACACGGCCCAGACUCCUACGGGAGGCAGCAGUGGGGAAUAUUGGACAAUGGGCGAAAGCCUGAUACAGCAAUGCCGCGUGAGUGAUGAAGGCCUUAGGGUUGUAAAGCUCUUUUACCCGGGAUGAUAAUGACAGUACCGGGAGAAUAAGCUCCGGCUAACUCCGUG
rnacentral:rRNA from 1 species